CGUUGAUAGGCAAGGUGUGUAAGUGCAGUAAUGUAUUGAGCUAACUUGUACUAAUUACCCGUGAGGCUUAACCAUACAACACCUAAGUAGU
rnacentral:rRNA from 1 species